GUAAGGAAUAUUGGUCAAUGGAGGGAACUCUGAACCAGCCAUGCCGCGUGCAGGAUGACUGCCCUAUGGGUUGUAAACUGCUUUUGUCAGGGAAUAAACCUUUCCACGUGUGGGAAGCUGAAUGUACCUGAAGAAUAAGGAUCGGCUAACUCCGUGCCAGCAGCCGCGGUAAUACGGAGGAUCCAAGCGUUAUCCGGAUUUAUUGGGUUUAAAGGGUGCGUAGGCGGUCCUAUAAGUCAGUGGUGAAAGACGGCAGCUUAACUGUCGCAGUGCCUUUGAUACUGUAGGACUUGAAUCUAUUUGAAGUGGGCGGAAUAAGACAAGUAGCGGUGAAAUGCAUAGAUAUGUCUUAGAACUCCGAUUGCGAAGGCAGCUCACUAAGUUAGUAUUGACGCUGAUGCACGAAAGCGUGGGGAUCAAACAGGAUUAGAUACCCGAGUAGUCC
rnacentral:rRNA from 1 species